rnacentral:rRNA from 1 species
UACGAAGGGGGCUAGCGUUGUUCGGAAUUACUGGGCUUAAAAGGGGUGCGUAGGCGGUGGAGUAAGUCGGGUGUGAAAUACCAUAGCUUAACUAUGGAACUGCACUCGAUACUACUUUGCUAGAGUAAGACAGAGGUGAGUGGAACUGAGGGUGGAGCGGUGAAAUGCGUUGAUAUCCUCAGGAACACCGGUGGCGAAGGCGACUCACUGGGUCUUUACUGACGCUGAUGCACGAAAGCUAGGGUAGCAAACGGGG